rnacentral:lncRNA from 1 species
CUCUUUUGAUAAAUAAUAAAAAGGUGAGGGGCUUAAACAAAAUAAAUCAAAGCAGAAAUACUUGGAACAUAAAAUUUACACAGAAAUAGAGGUACUAAAUAACGUCACAUCAUUGCUUCAAUUUUGAAAACAUGAUUACACUGUGAUUGUGCUUCCAGAGACACCGAAAACUCCAGAAUUUUCAAACCCACGAAUCUCAAUUUAAAUGCGUUUUAUUUCGUACACUGUUUACGAGGAGGAGAAUUCAAAUCUUCAUGGUGUUGCCGAUGUCGAUAACAAAUCGGUAUCUGACAUCUGUUUUCGAAAGCCGCUCCAUGGCAGUGCUCACAUAAUCCAUUGGGACAACCUCAAUGUCUGCCGUGAUGUUGUUCUUGCUAGCAAAAUCAAACAUCUCCUGUGUUUCCUUCAUUCCUCCCAUGCAACUCGCACCCACUAUUUUUCUUCCUGCCAAAGCCAAUAACAUGGAAUUCGUCGCUGUCAGCUCUCAAUAUAUGUUUAUUUAUUUGAUAGCCCAUUGGAAGAUCAAUACCAAAAUAAAUUCAGAACACAUGCUGAGAUGCAAGAAUAUAUACAUACCCAUGAUCAGAGGAAGCACCGGUAGCUCCAGUGGCUUCUCAGGCGCACCAACCAAGACCAGCUUUCCCUGAGUCUUCAGUAGACCAAUCAAAGGCAAGAUAGGAUGCACGGCCGACACCGUGUCAAUCACACCAUCCAUUGUGCCCAAUGCAGCCUGAAUAAACAAACAAUAUUAUAUUAUGUUUGAUGUGUAAUUAAUUAGUUUUGUUUGGAAAGUGAAUUUUAAGAAAAUUAGUAUUUGGUUAUGUCAUGGAAAAUAAGUUGAAAAAUAACUUAUUAAUAUUUUAUUUUUUUCAAGUUUAUUAAAAUAAUGAGGAACAAAUCUUCCAAAUUAAAAGGUUAAAUGAGAAUAAAAUUGAAAAAAUAUAUAAUUUUAUAAAUUAUCUCAAAUAAAAUAAAUAAUAUUCAAAAUAAUAGAGAUCAAAUCUAAAAAAUAAAAAAAAAUGAAAGAUGAAAAAAUUAAAAUAAUAAUAAUCAACAUUUCAUAAAUUAUUUCAAAUAAAAUAAGUAACAAUCAAAAGAAUAAGGACCAAAUUUGAUAGAUAAAAAAUUUCAAUAAAAAAAUAAUAAAGAAAAGCAAAUAGUAAUUAUAAAAAUAAGGACCAAAGUUAAUAUAAAAAUAAAAUUUAAGAGAUAAAAUUAAAAAAUAAAUAUUCAAAACAAAAUAUAUAUAGCAAUUAAAAGUUUGAGAAUCAAAUUUGAUAUAAUCAGUAAAUAAUGAUAUUUCUAAAUUUUUCACAACUUCCGGAAAGUGUUUUCCGUCCAAAUUUUUCAGGAAAACACUUUCCUGAAAAUCAAGCCAAAUUUUCCUUAUACUGAAAAGUGUUUUUCGUUGACCAACUUUCUUAAUGACAAGGAAACCACUUUCCAGAAAACAAACACAGCUAAAGAAAAACAAUUUCCUGAAAACCAAGCUAAAUUUCUCUUUGACUGAAAUAUUUUUCGUUGACCAAUUUUUUUAAUAGCAAAUAAACAUAAAAAAAUUUAAAAAAUAAUUUUCCAAAAACUAUUUUUCGAGAGAAACAAACAUGACAUUAGUUUUGCAUACAGAAGGAAGGUUCUCUAAACAAUGUAUAUAUAUACCUGCAUCUCAUCCUGGUCAAGACUAACCAAAAACGAGUCAGCGCCAAGAUGCUCCAGGGCUUCUUGUUUCUUCUUGGGAGAGGUGCUAAUAACAGUCACCUUGACCCCAAUGGCCUUUGCAAACUUUACAGCUACAUGACCUAGCCCGCCGAGCCCAACCACGCCCACAUGCAUUCCCGGUUUGUCAAGACCGUAAAAUCUCAAGGGGCUAUACACUGAAAUUCCAGCGCAUAGGAGAGGUGCGGCGGCAUCUAGAGGUAGGUUGUCUGGAAUAUGAACAACGAAGUGCUCAUCUACGACCAUAAUGUCCGAGUAGCCCCCGUACGUGGUGGUUCCGUCGUGGUAUUUGCUGGCAUAGGAGAGUAUCAUUUUUGGGCAAUAAUUCUCGAGAUGGCUGUUGCAACUAUCGCAAGAGCGGCAUGAUCCAACCAUGCACCCCACCCCCACUUUGUCUCCAACUUUGAUCUUCUCGACUUUGCUUCCUACCUCUGUCACUUCCCCGACAAUCUCAUGCCUGCAUUGCCAAUUUAAUUUAAUUAACCUCCAGCGGCGGAGCUGGUAAUAAUCGGUAGCGAAGGUCAAAAUUAAUAUAAAAAAGAUAUAUUAUUAAAAAGUUUAUUUAUUUAAAAUAAAAAAUAUUAUAUAUUUUAUAUUUAAAUACUAAAUAAUAAAAAGUUUAAAAUGUUUUGCGGAGCCAGCCCCUGCUUGCCUCCCCUAGUUCCGCCCCUGCCUCAUAUGCAAGGCAUGGCUGAAUUUAUUCCAGUCAAAGUUCCUCUAAACAUCUUCGUUGGACUGCCAAUUGCCAUUCAUCAUGUUUAUGUACAAAAAAUCAAGAGAAUAACUAUACGGCCAUGGAUUUUUCUUGCUGUGUGUACAUACCCGGGAACUAGAGGGUACGUGGACAUACCCCAAUCAUUCUUGGCCAUAUGAAGGUCUGUGUGACAUAUUCCACAAAACAGCACCUUGAAUCGCACAUCCUUCUCUCCUGUAGACCUGUUGAAAGAGGUGUUUCUUGCUUAGCAUAAACCGCAAGUGAAAACGAGAGAUAUUCAUAGGUAGAAAAUCUAUCAGAUCGCCAUUCACCAACCAUAAUAUUGCUAAACAUAUAUAUAAAGCUAUGAACAUGUGAUUCAAUAAACUUAUUUCACAUAAUAAAAAUAAAAGGCUGCCAUAUCUGAUGUAGCCCAUCUUGCAGCUGUGCUGCAUGCUUGUUGGUGUUUAGAAAAACAAGAAGAAAAUGGAUCUAAGUAAAACCGAGCUAGACAGAGAGAGAGAAGAAGUCCCAUAAUUAAAUAAAUAAAGCAGCGACAAGAUGGAGGAGAGGGAAUAACCUCCUGGAGAAUUUGAAAGGAGAGAGGACCCCGGAUUGGUCUCUGGCUGCCCAUCCAAAAGCCUUGGUAGGAUGUUCUUCCUCGUAAGAUUUUUCUGCCAUUUUCGCCUCCUUUUGCUCUAUUUGGUACUGCCGAGAGAGUGUGCAUGGUGCACUAAUUUAUAAUGGCGGGUGGUCAGCCAUUGCGUAUAAUGGGCAGGGAUGACAUGUUGGUGAGCUAAGCACCGUUAGUCGCUCAUCCGUGAGCCAAUCAAUUAUCUCGAGAGAAAAGCCAUCUGUCCAUUAGCUAGUUAUAAAAUUUGAAACGAACAAGAACGUCUUUUUUUGUGUUUUAAAAAUAAUUAAAAAUAAUUAUUUUUUUUUAAUUAUUAUUUUUUUAAUAUUAUUAAAUUAUUUUAAUAUAUUAAUAUCAAAAUUAAUUUUUAAAACAUAUAAAAAAUAUAUUAUAUUAAUAUAUUUUUAUAUAAAAAAUAAUUUAAAAAAUAAUCGUAACCUCAAUCAACAAUCGAAGAGUUUCGAAUCUCAAGUACACGCUGUCGUUUACUCUCAACUCUAUUUCCUUGCGUUGAAUUAACAAGUGAAAACUGAAUUUCCGGCCUCCAAACCAAUGGUUGUGUGCCUCCUAAUAAAAUAAUAUAUUGGAGAAGUUUUGAACCGCAUUUUAUUUAUUCUCUUUAUGGAUCAACAACUAAUAAACAUUCAUAAAAAGAGAUGCAAUGCAAGUAUGCCUGUUAGCCAGACCAGGUGAACGCAAGAAAAUAAUGGCAAAAAAAAAAAACCAAUUCACCAAAAACAAUGUUAUAUGAACCGCAUUUUAUUUAUUCUCUUUAUGGAUCAACAAAUAAUAAAAUCUUGAUUCUUAAAACAAUAAAUAAAAUCAUGAACAGCAAACCAUUUUCUCUUUUUGCAUCAACAGAUAAUAAAAUCAAGAACAACAGGCAAGGUAAUUACACAAAGUCCCUCAAAAAGAAAGUCAAACGAGCAGCGCGAUGUCCGAAUCUACUUAUUAUUAUACAUAGUACCUGUUUAGGAUUGUGUUUGAAAAGCGAUUUUUAUAAAAUUAAAAAAAAAAUUUGUUUAGAAUUAAUAUGUUUUUGAUGUGCUGAUCUCAAAAAUAAUUUUUAAAAAUAAAAUUAUUAACAUAUUUUUUUAAAUAAAAUAUAUUUUAAAAAAUAACCACAACUACCAUCACAAACACGUUAAUAUCCUAGGAAAGCAAGCAGUGACAACAACAGGAAAAACCUGGUGUUUGCUGAGUAUGUGUGCUGAUUAGUACUGUCUGUGGGCUCUGAGAGAGCUUAGACCCGAGGGCUAUUUAUAAGGUUUUGUGGAAGCUUGCGGGACCCCGGAACAGAACCUGGAAGGCUGGAACACCUGCGCCAUGUUCAUAAAUGGCAAGGGGUGUUUAUAUAGUGAGGGCUCGGGUAAGUUUCCACAAAGAAAACGCGUGGGGUCAUAGAUAACGUGGACGGCUGGAACACAGAGGCCAGCAAGAAAACGGAUGGUGCUAAAAAAUAAUUUGAUUUUUAUUAACGUUAGCGGACACUUGUCCUCAUUUUAUUUCCCUAAAUUGGUAACCGUUACCUAUAACUAGUCUCCAUGUCAAACACUCAACGUAGUUAAAACGGCAUGUCGGCGUGGGAUUGGGUUGCGGGCCUUCGAUUUGGUAAGCUGGGCCUGCAUACUUGGAUCUCAUCUCCCUGCAUUAUUAUUAUUAUUAUGAGUGCUAUAAAUGACAUGCUAAACUAAUGCUUGGAAAAAAAGAAGAAGAAAAUCAACACAAAAAAAAUUGCAAAAGAUAAAUACACACGAAAAAAUAAAUUCAACUAAAAAGAUUUGUAUGAAAAAAAUUAAAAAAUACUAUAAAUAAAUCAACUAAAAAUUGAUCUCACGUGAAAAAAAAAUCAUACAACAACAUUUAUAAAACUAUUAAGAAAAAAAACAAUUAAAAAUAAAAUGAAAACAUAUAUAGUGAAAAAUACAUGAAAAAAUAAGAUUUUUUUUUUACCUUAAUAUAGUUGCAAGUGAAGUUAAGAAGAGAAAUUUUUUCGUAAAAUGAUUAAUUAAAAAAAAUUGAGAAAAAAAUAAGAAGGAAGAAGAAGACAAACUUGAGCAUGGAGAAGAAGAGAAGGGGUCGAGGAGAGAAGAAGAGAAAGGGUCGAGGUCUAUUGUGAAAUUAGGGAUUCUAGACUUUUUAUUGGGCGUUUUACCAAUAAUUUUGCAGAUGGAUUAUUAAAUAUUAAUAUUUUUAAUUAUUUUGUCGACGAUUCCGUCCGUAAUAUUUAAUUUAAAUUUUGAAUUUAAUCAAAAAAUUUCAAAAACCAUCAAAUAUCACUGGCGACUUUUCAAUCUGUCGGUGAUUCUGUUUGUAAUAUUUAGUUUAAAAUUUUACUCUAAGCUAAGUUUUUCAGAAAACUGCCCAAUAACAUCGACGAAUUUUCAAUCUAUCGUUGAUUUUAUCUAUAAAAAACAGUAACUAACAAUAAAAUUUGAAAGUGAAUAAUUCCAGAGCUCUGUAAAAUAUAGACAGAAGUUUCUGUUGGUGAUUCCGUUUGUAAUUGGCAUGAUGAAUAGUGUUCACAAUUUACCAACAAUUUUACCAAUAAAAUUUACGGAUAGAAUAAAUUCUGUUAGUAAUUCCGUUGAAAGAACAACUUGUCAUCAUUUUUUUUACCUUGUUUUAUUUUUUUUAAUGUAAUUGUUUUUGGUAAAUAUUGAUGGAAUAUUUUCAUCAGUAAAAUUCUUAGGUAAUCUAUGAACAAAAAAAAUUACAUCAGUAUUUUUAUUUAUAUUUAUCAAUAAAAGUUGAAAAAUUAUUUUUUUAAUAAUCAUCUAUCUGGUUUUUUCGAAGACUACGUACUCUAUCGUGGGAGCGCACUAUUGUCAACCCGGCAAUGAAAGGCAACAUGGUAAUUAAAAACUCCAAAGUCGUGUUUUUGUUCAGCAUUCAAUACAUAAAAAACAGUGAGAAAGAAAGCACUCGUUAUCCAUGUCCCACUCCCACGCAGACAUGAUCUGAUUUAAUCAAUUUUGAAUUAUGGGAUAGUACUGACCUAAUUAAUUUGACAAUUCAACAUCUUAAUAUUCUUAAUUACAAGAGUACUUUGUCCAUGUUUGACGUCCUUUAUUCUUAGAGAUGAGAUGGAAAUAAAUUAAUUUUAUUCAAUGUGUGGGAUUGAAAAGAUCAUGAUUAAAUUGACGCCAAGGGUUCAAGUAAUUAUUAUGAUAAAUGGAAAAAUAAAUUAAUGUGUGGGAUUGAAAAGAUCAAGAUUAAUAUGACCUAUAUAUAUUUGUUAAAACAGGACUUUCUGAUAAUUUUCUCAAAGAAUAAGGUCAUGUCUGCAAAUAACAGGGCUGCUCUCUUUGUUGAAAUCUAAUAGUUUUCCACUGUACUGAGUAAAAGCUUGUGAGUAUAAAAAGAAAAACAUGUGCAAAAAUGUACUCCAUUGAUCGAUUCAUAUAAAGCGAAACUCUUCUGAUAAAUAAUAAAAAGGUGAGGGGCUUAAACAAAAUAAAUCAAAGCAGAAACACUUGGAACAUAAAAUUUACACAGAAAUAGAGGUACUAAAUAACGUCACCUCAUUGCUUCAAUUUUCAAAACAUGAUUACAGUGUGCUUACAGAGAUACCGAAAACUCCAUAAUUUUCAAACCCACGAAUCUCACAUUACAUGCGUUUUAUUUCGUACAGUGUUUACGAGGAGGAGAAU